AAGAAACAAUGUUUAAGAAUAGAAUGCUCCCACCUAAAAGACACUUUCAGAUAGAACCAUUGUUACAUGUGUGUGGUUUAUUCAACACUACUGUGUAUAUAGUGGACAAUUAAGUCCUUAUUUGAAACAUCUGGUCUCUUUAGAUGUUUAUAAGUGCA